CUCUGUUCCAAGAAUUCUACUCUUUUACAGAGCAUCUUUUUGAGUGUCUUGGUUUUAAUUGGAUUUGGAUCUCCACAUCGUUGGUGGGAGAAGGUUAUCAGAAUGGCUCCAAAAUUUGCGACCACAAUUGGCGACGUACGAAGGGACAAGGAAUUAAGGUGAUUGCUGGGAGCCUUGGGGAAUGCCAAAGCCUUGCACAUCAGAGAACACCAAGCGGCCGCUACAAUAAGUGCGGCUACAUAUAGACCAGUGGCAGCUACUUCUGUUCAUGUGUUGAAGCUAAUAGUAAGAUGCUAGCUCUAAACGUGCAGCACUAAACCAUCCAUAGUGCGAUAAUUCAGUGUGUGAGCAAUUUGUAGUUACUUUCAAAUGGAAGAAAAAUAAAAAUGAAUGCAGUGUGGAGGAGAAAGCAGCGAAGCAUUCUGUCAUAAUCUUAACUGCAUUGGCAAAGGGGGGGAAACAUAUCGCUUAGCAGAGCUAAAUUGUUAACUCUCCCAAAGAAUGAUCCAAAAAAAAAAAAAAAAAAAACAAUUUAGGAGAAAAUCAAAAUGAUCAGAUAUUUUGGAGGGAAAGAGGCUAAAGCCUGAUCCCCUGUAAAAAAUGAGCAAACCUCAAAUUAGAAAAAUGGGGCAUUAAUUCUCUUCCUGUGUGUGGCAGGGUCCAGUUGUCUGUGGAUUGACAUAUUUAAAUUACUCAAAUGCAUACUCUAGCAAAAACUGCAGAGCUAAAUGACUCUAUUCUAGUUCUAUUCUAGUUACAGUGUGCAGAGGUAGAGUUUGAAGCACUGAGGAGGGACGUGCAGUCUGACCAGGUACUUGGCAACCAAAAGGAAAGAGAAGAACAUUACAUUGGUAUGGGGCAAACUGAGAAGAUUAAGGUAAGGCAGAGUUGAGUCAGAA